GCUAACAAUACUAGCUUAGUACACUCACUUUGAUUAGCCGAUUAAGCUAACUGUAGUAGCUAGGUACACAUUGUUUGAUUAGCAGUAAAAGUAUCUACAUAUCCUCACUUUGUUUAGCAGAUGAAGCUAACUGUACUAGCUAGGAAGACUCACUGCAUACACUCAUUUUGAUUAGCUGAUUAAGCUAACUGUAGUAGUUACAUAUACUCCCUUGAAUUAGCAGUGCAAACUAACAAUACUAGCUAAGUAUAUCUUAUUAGCUUAUAGCUUUAACACUGACUUUGAUUAGCAGAUUAAGCUAACUGUAGUAGCUACAUAUACUCCCUUUAAUUAGCAGUGCAAGCUAACAAUACUAGCUAAGUAUAUCUUAUUAGCUUAUAGCUUUAACACUGACUUUGAUUAGCGGAUUAAGCUAACUGUGGUAGCUAGGUACACAUUGUUUGAUUAGCAGCUUCUAAUUUGAAGCUGACUGUACUAGAUACAUACACUCAGUUGGAGCUAAUAUAUUUAGCCUGGUAUGUAACAUGUCAUUAAAACAACCAACUUUCACACUUUUUGACUAGUUAGAAGAACAUUCCAAGCUUUAUAGGUGUAUGAUGGUGUCUCUGAUGAGCGUACACAGCUAGUAGUGUUAGCUUGUGUUCCUAGUAAAAGCUAAUUCUUUUUAUAUAUUUAUUUGAAACAUUUAGUAGUGCAACUCAUAAUCAGAUACCAUUUGUGAUUGCAGCUGAGAAUGCUAGACAGAGGGUACACAUUAGCACAUUAUCAAGAGACAGUACAAGCGGAAUGCUAGCAUGAACACAGGGAUGUAUGACUGUCUAAUCCCAUAGCACAUGUCUUUGUGUCUAAGAGAAAAGCAGGACUAGACAAGACAAAAAGGGAUGUUUCAGAGAAGGAAGAUGUCAAGAUUUGGCACCUGAGGAAAAAGCACUAAACUUAUUUUAGCAGGAGUGUUUCCUGCUAAGGGAAACUGCAGCAGGACAGAUUGGAGCAAGAGCCACGAAACCCAGCGUGAAUAGGAACAGAAGUCCAGCAGCACUCUGGCUGACCCCUUGGAUUUUCAAACAUAAGCCAAGUGUGUUUUUUUUUUUUCCAGAAAAAAAAAUUAUCUAGUCCUUUCAGUAGAAAAACCUUCUUAGGACCGUAAACAGUUUACCCCAAUUCAGAUGGCACGAGCGAUAACCAUUGGAACAGCAUAAGCACUGAAAUCUGGAUAAUACACUGGAUUUGGAUUUAUUUACAACUCCAAUGCUGUCUGGAUCUUCUCACAACUUGAAGACAGCCUCGAGUCCAUGAGAAGAGAGGCCAAAAGAGCGUAAUCCCACACAAUGCUCCAUUAUGCUCCAAAGAAGUGUGUCUUCCCAUCAAUCACAUCGCUUCAUCUUCUCAAAAUACAUCACGUCUGUACAUGACUAACAGCUGCCAACUCUUUAUGUUUCUCAUGAAGCAGUUGGCCUAAAUUUCUGUCCUGCAUGAAUAUGUAGGAGGGCACAUUCCAAAGAAAAAGGAACACGGGGAAUUUAUAACCACCCCCCCGAACGUCUUGCUAGUACAAUAAACUGGUAAUCAAUCACAGGGAAUGUGAACAUGAUUAAAACCUCAUCCAGGAGAAAUGCAGGAAUUAAACUGCUGGACGUCCAGCCGAAACUCCCCGAGGUGCUCUCAUAAGCGCUUUCUUAAACAAAAACGGUUCGACUUAAGAGAGUGGCACACACUCAUGUGAGAAUUCACAGAGCUCUCCGGCGGUUUCUCGGACCUUUUUCGGCAGACGAGAGUAAACGGGAGACACGUCUCUGGGGCUCCUUGUGCAGACUGGAUUUUUUUUCCCUCCAACUCUAUUUGUGUGUCGUUUAGAAGACUAAGGCACCAAGAACAAAGGUUCGAGCCUGUCGGCUUUCCAGCUUGGCUCUGAAGAAAGAAAUGCGCCUUUAUUUUGCAAGCGCCAUCGGUAGCAACUGUUCUGGUGCCAGAGUGAAAGUCCUAUACGGUUUACAUGAGGAUACCUCUCACGGCGUCUCCAAAUUCAUCUUACAGUACUCACGUGUCCUAUUUUUAUGUAUGAGGACCAAAAACAGACCAGAACAUCUGAAAGCUGUGUAUCGUUCUUUUGAUAUCAUGACAUGUAGAAGAAAGUUUAAUUCAAUAAAGAAAUGGGAUUUAUUUAUUUAUUUAUUUAUUUAUUUAUUUAGAACCUUUCUGGCCACUUUGGUUCAUUCGCUUGGUUCAGUUCCAGCAAUGAGCAUGUUUGUGCCUUAUAUAGACAUCUGGUGUAAUACUGAUUAGUCUAUCAUUCAGCAAUGGAAAACUAUGUGUGCUAGUUUAUGUGGUCACACCGACCAGAGCCUAUGUUUUCAACUUCAUGAAGAACUCAAAACCACUUUGUUACUCAUCUCAGCCAUCGUGUUUUUCAGACAUCCAUCUCUGGAGCGACUAAGUUUUUUUUUUUUAAUCUUUUUUAUACAACUGAGAGUUUAGGGCCUUUCUUAAGGGCCCAGCAGUGGCAUCUUGGUGGACCUGAGAUUCAAACUCACAACCUUCCAAUCAGUAGUCCAACACUUUAAGUACUAAGCUACCAAGUGGUUGUGUUGGUGAAUUGUCAAUACAUCAGUUUUCGCUAUUCAUUCAUUCAUUCAUUCAUUCAUCUACUACCGCUUAUCCGAACUUCUCGGGUCACG